CCUACGGGAUGCAGCAGUGGGGAAUAUUGCGCAAUGGGCGAAAGCCUGACGCCGCGACGCCGCGUGAGGGAUGAAGGUCUUCGGAUCGUAAACCUCUGUCAGCAGGGAAGAACGGUCACUGUGCUAAUCAGCAGUGAAUUGACGGUACCUGCAAAGGAAGCACCGGCUAACUCCGUGCCAGCAGCCGCGGUAAUACGGAGGGUGCGAGCGUUAAUCGGCAUUACUGGGCGUAAAGCGCUCGUAGGCGGUAUGUCAAGUCAAGGGUGAAAUCCCCGCGCUCAACGUGGGAACUGCCUUUGAAACUGGCAAACUGGAGUGUGUGAGAGGAGAGUGGAAUUCCAGGUGUAGGAGUGAAAGCCGUAGAUAUCUGGAGGAACAUCAGUGGCGAAGGCGACUAUCUGGCACAUAACUGACGCUGAGGAGCGAAAGCGUGGGUAGCAAACAGGAUUAGAUACCCGAGUAGUC
rnacentral:rRNA from 1 species